rnacentral:misc_RNA from 1 species
UACAAUGAUCUACGACGUCAACUCUCCUCUCUUCCGUUCCUUCCUCAGCCAGAAGGGCGGCUCCUCUGAUAAGAGGUAUUCAAGGAACUGAUUUAUGUUAAAUUUAUGAAUUGGUUUUGCUUGGUUGGGCUAUGGAUGGGUAUCUAAUUUCUUGGAUUUUUAUGCGAUGCUUUAUGUUUUCUUGUUCUGAAAUUCCAAUUUGAGAUUCUGAGGAAGAAUGAAAUUCCAAUGAUCUUACCAUAUGAUUUGAAUGUUUGAAUAAGACCCCAAUUAGAUUUUUAAGAAUAGGAUAGUCCCUUGUUUGCAUACUUAAUUAUGAACAUAAGAGUUAUAAUUUAUUGAAUGCGGGGUUCUGUUCUUUCAUUUGGCUUGAUUAGAACACUAACUCGUUAGUCCUGCAUAUGGUACAUAAUGUCAUAUGGUGUUAAGCCAGCUUUUCCAAUCUGCAAUGGUGUCAUAUGGGGUGUGUGUGUGUCUAUAUAUAUAUAUAAAUUUUGUUUCCUGUUUUUCAGAGGUUUCACUUAUAUGUGUCUCUUUUUGGCAUUAGGUUUACUGGUUUUAACACAUCUACUGGGGUACCCUGUCCUUUAUUAGGGCUAUUGUGCAAUUUGUCAUGUGUUUUGAGUUUUUUCCUUGAGGUUCUUGUCGAGUGAGACAUUUUUCUUCAUUGCAUGUUAUUGCAUUUUUCACCAAGUAUGUGCCAUUUUUCGUUUUCUGACAUGCUCAUGAUACCCCCUGAGUCUUUAUUUCCAAAAUUGCAAAUGGAAUGUUAUUAGUUUUGGAUUUAACUGCGACUACCUCCUGGUUAUUGUGGGGUUAAUUAGUCUAUCAUUGCAGAUUUCUUCCAAGUUUGUUAUGUUGAUCUUUGUGCUGCAUGAGUUGCAUCUUGUUUUUGGACAGUUUGAAGUAUAGAUGUAAUGAUUUUGGAUUUUUCAGGAAAAUGGAGGAACAGAAGCCAAAGGAACAAAAACCCAAAGCAAGCGAGAAUAAGCCUGUGAUGACAGAAUAAAGCUGUUAACAUGGAGUGAUAGGUGCCUCGUCUACCAUGCUUUAAAGUGGUUUAGAAUGGAUGAAGGCUAUUUCAAAUGCUAUUAUAAAAUAUUAGGAAUUUUGUCUUGGCCAAUAUAAAUGAAUGUAUUUCUGGACUAAGAUUUUGAUUUUGUGAUGAAUGCUUGUUUGGAUAUAGCUGUUAUUUUGAGUUUGUGAUGGGCAUGGCAUUCUGAGAAACUGUUGUGCAUUGAAUGAUCUCUCAAAGCAGAUGAUGAGAUUGUAAACUUCAAUUAAAUCAUAUGUGACUCAUUUUUAGAGAAUUGUUGUUCUCUUUCAUAUUGUGUGAAAAAAUAAAGUGCAAGGUAAUAAAUAGUUUAAUAAUGAAGUAUAAGUAUUGGUUGGAU